CAGGGAGGAAUCUACCAUCUCUGGAACACUGAGGAGGAGACAUAGAGGAUGAGGCUCCAUGGAGGAGCCGCCUCCCUCUGACCUCACAGCUGCCAGGACCUGAACAUGUCAAACAAACACAUUCACUGAUGUCAUUAGAGCUCCAUGCCGUCAUGAUCCACACACCAACAGUGUCCUCUGUUGGUAUCACACUGAAUUGACUCAAACUGGCCUGAAGGAGAACACCGCAGCUCAGACUGGAGCUGACAUGGAGACGGGCCUGGAUGAGGACAUGGAUGAGGACACAGAGGAAACAGAACAAGAAAUAAACAUCAGGUGAAGUGUAAUCAUAAAAACAUAUUGACAUGAGGUCUUAUGUAUUUUCUCCCUCACAGUGAAGAGCAGAGUUGUUGGUUAGAGUUCCCACGAUCUCUUGACCUGCAGCGUCCACACACCAGCACUCGUGACCACGCCCACUGCACUGCACAGGUUUUGCAUGCAGCAGUGACAGGCCACCAAGGCAGGUGAUGAUGCUCAGCAGCCACGCCAUGGUCUAUGUGCCUCCACAGCGACUUGGCCUUCCUGUUUAUAUCCACUCAUAUCUGCUGAGUCAGUGAGAGGACAAA